rnacentral:rRNA from 1 species
CCUACGGGGCGCACCAGUAAGGAAUCUUCCGCAAUGGACGAAAGUCUGACGGAGCAACGCCGCGUGAGUGAUGAAGGCUUUCGGGUCGUAAAACUCUGUUGUUAGGGAAGAACAAGUACAAGAGUAACUGCUUGUACCUUGACGGUACCUAACCAGAAAGCCACGGCUAACUACGUGCCAGCAGCCGCGGUAAUACGUAGAUGGCAAGCGUUAUCCGGAAUUAUUGGGCGUAAAGCGCGCGCAGGCGGUUUCUUAAGUCUGAUGUGAAAGCCCACGGCUCAACCGUGGAGGGUCAUUGGAAACUGGGGAACUUGAGUGCAGAAGAGAAAAGCGGAAUUCCACGUGUAGCGGUGAAAUGCGUAGAGAUGUGGAGGAACACCAGUGGCGAAGGCGGCUUUUUGGUCUGUAACUGACGCUGAGGCGCGAAAGCGUGGGGAGCAAACAGGAUUAGAUACCCGAGUAGUC